rnacentral:lncRNA from 1 species
UUUUUCGACUUCAGCUUCUCCUUGUCACUGUACAUGGCCGGCGUGCUGCUGUCGGUGUCCGCGGCAUUCUUGUCAGAUUCUUGAUCAGACAAUUUUGGACCGACCCCGUCUUCCUGCAGGUAUAUUUUAUAACUAUUAUAUGUACAAAUACAUGAAUACACUGCAAAACUGCGUACAAAGACUAACGUGCCUAGAAAACUUGUGAAAAUGGACCUUUUACCUUUGCUCGCUCCUGAAAUCCGCGAACAAGCUACUAAUACUACGCUUAAUUCAGGAACUGUUGCCAUUAACAUAUGUUUGUUCGUAGUGAUGAAGGUGUUACCAUUAAAGUUCUGCGUUGCAUUUCCUCGAGAAAAGAAUAAAAAGGUUCUACGUGGCAUAGGACCUUUUACAAAGGCCUUCUUGUAUCUGCCUAGCCUUGACUUUAACUACACAAUUACUAUAUUAAUCAGGAGCAUAAGAGAUUUACUACGUCUCCAAGUAUUAUUCUUUUAUAUUUAUUUUGUGUCAGCAGCUAAUAGCUCUGCUUGACAUUAAUUUCUUUCUGCAAAGUUUUUGAUGUUCCAUGCUUCUUCAUAUGUAAUAAUAAUAAUUGCUAGUCUUGGCCGUCUGAGACAUCAAUUUAUACGAAGUUUGACGAUUAGAACCCGCUGCUCUAUGCACGCGAUAUGUAGGAAGAGAGGAAUAUAAUAAUAUCAUGAUCCACACUCACCUUGGCAACUCGAUCAAAACCAUUGGAAUCAUGGGAGUUUUGCGGGCAAUUUGCGUGAGCUACAGCUGGUGGAGGAGGUGGUGG